AGAAACCUCAUUUUGCACAGCACUCUCCUGGCAGCUGCAGAGCAUCCUCCCAGCUCCACAUCCCACCCCAUGGAAGAAGACAGCAGAGAUCCUCGGAAACCCUUCUGGCCUUCCAGUGACAGAUGCUUUGUGACAGCCCCUUGCAACAUCCCGAGUAAAUACAUAAACAUUUUUAAAUAUAUAUUUUUUCAGAUGGUGGGGUCACAGGGAGAAAUUGGAUUGUGUUAUUUCCCCAGGCAUGUGCUUUUCCCUUCUUGAGGUCAAAAAAAAAAAAAAAAAGGGUUAGAAAAAGAGAAUCAAAACUGAAUCUGGUUGUCAGCAGUGCUGGAGGAAAUUGCAUUGUCUAAAGAGAGUAACAGUGGUAAGAGUGAUACUGAAAUGACUGAUAACACCCUGAAACUCUUCUUCAGUGCCUGUGGCCACAAAGCUGGCUUCUGUUUGGACCCUUCUUUGGAGGUGCCCUGCUGCACUCUUUUUUGGAGGUGAAUGGGUCAUUUUAGAGCUUUCCUAAUAAUCCAGCAUUAUCAGAAGCAUUGUCCUUUUUGAGAAACAGGAACCCAAACCUCCCUCACCAAAAAAGGGAAUGGUGUUCUGAAUGUGUUGUAUUAAAAAAAAAAAAAUAAGGGAUAGGUUUGUCUCAGGACUGCAGUAUUGCCCUAUGGGAAUGUGUAGACCCAAAACCACAACUCGUGGAUAAAAGGAGGUGGGUUUUUUUUUUGGUUACAACUGAUUUUCACUGUCACACCAAGAACUGAUUGACUCCCAGUUGGAAAUAAUCCAAUUGCUCCUCAACUCUGGGGGAUGGAUUUCUGGUUUGGGUGGUCCCACACAGUACAUGGGGGGUACCACGCAGUACCUCACCCACAGCUGUUGGAAUCCAUGCAGCGACAGAAUACCAAAAAAUCAGUCCCUGGCAUAGAGUGGUGCCAGAUCUGCUGGUACCUUCUCCCCUCAUGAGCUAUCACCACCCCUUGAUGACCGAAAACAUCCAACAAUGGGCUAAAUGCCUUGAGAGGUCUUCUUGAAUGUUUUCUUCCAUGAUCCUAUGGAAGAACCAAUUUGUAACACGAUAAGAGCACGUCCAGUGGGAUGCUGAGUGUGGUGACCUUGAUGGCAAGGCAAACCAAACACAACUGAUGCAGCUGGCCAGCCAACCUGUUGGCAAAGUGAGAUCAUUCUUGUCUGAUCUAAGGAGGCUUGACACAUGUUCCUCAGCUAGCAUGACCUGAAGGGGUUGUGAUGAGCUAAGGUUCAAGAUCGUAUAGGCAUUGUGAAUGACUUAUUUCUCUAGUACAAGGCACAGACUUUUGUACUGCAUCCACACCCCAUGUCAGAUGCUAUUGGAUGUCUACUGCUGCAACAGAUAUUUUAUCAGUCUUUGCACUGAAAUCCAAGUUGGCAAAAUUUUGGCCUGGUGCAAAAGUGGAUGGCAGCAGAGGUUGUGACCAAAAAGCACAGCUGAACUGGAGCUAUGAAGAGAAGCAGUAAUUAAGACCUAACAACUAAUUACCAUUGUGGAGGGUGGCUUGAGAACCAGCACAGCCCCAAAUCCAGAUAUUUCUAGCUGCAGCUCAAACCCCACAAUUAAGCUGUGAUUUUGGUCAUUAUGAGGAGGUAUUUCCAGAGCUGGAUCUUGUCUUUUGCUGCCUUUAUCCACCAAAACAACUGACUCAGCAUCAACAGAAUGAAAACCCAGCAUUUUGAUAAAUGUCAUCCAAACCAGACUGGAGAGCACUGCACUGCAUUGGAUGCUUUCACCAAAGCUGGAUGCCAACCUGUGGGCAGAGCUGCUGUUUCUUGUAGAGAAGGCUGGCUGGCUGGCAGGGGUUGUAUUGGUUGAGAAGCACCUAAAAAUACUGAUGUCUUCCCUUGGGAGCAGCGAGUCCCAUGAUAUGGCAGCAUGGAGAAGCAAAUGUCACCAAGCAUUUCUCUGAUUCUUGGCCCUUCUCUACCCACCCAUCGCUCCAGGCACCAGUGGAAGAACAGAGGGGGAAAAUUUCACAUAUGGCUCUCUGAUCACCUGCAAGCACACUGUCCUCCAGGAUGACUCUGCAGGCACAUCACACCAACAACCCAGUUUUCAAGGUAGUGGUACAAGUGCUAAUAGCUGAUUUCCUCCCAGUCUCUCCCUCUGGUGAUGCUGCAGGGACUGUGACUUACUCUGGAUGUUUUGGGGCUGCUCCUUCACCUUCCGGACAGGAUUAAUGUCACCAGUGGGUGAUGCCACCCUACCAGCCAGGCAUCCUGACUCACUCACUCUUCCUUCUUCCCAGCCUUGAUUCAGCUGUGACAAGAGGUAGACGUGCUCUCCUGCCACACGUCCUCGCUCUUUUUAAUUGCCCUGUUCCUUUAGCAUCUGCUAAGUAUUUGGAGCACUUCUUGCUCUGCAGUCUUGACAUGGUGUGUAGGCACCCCCCAAGCUUAUCUUCCUCAAACAGCACCCCAAGGCCCUGUUUGUAUCCUUUAAUAAACUACAAAUACCU
ensembl:lncRNA